rnacentral:snoRNA from 1 species
AGCAAAAUGAGGAGGUCAAUUGAUCUGAAGUAUUAUUGUUGAUACAUCCAUUCAUGGUCUUCAAAGUUCUCUAAUUGUU